AACGCGAAGAACCUUACCUGGGUUUGACAUACUCGUAGUACCGCGCUGAAAGGCAAGGGACCGCAAGGAGCGAGUACAGGUGCUGCAUGGCUGUCGUCAGCUCGUGCCGUGAGGUGUUAGGUUAAGUCCUGUAACGAGCGCAACCCUCAGAACUAGUUAUACGUGUCUAGUUCGACUGCCCGUGACAAACGGGAGGAAGGCGGGGAUGACGUCAAGUCAGCAUGGCCUUUAUAUCCAGGGCUACACACACGCUACAAUGGCCGGUACAAUGGGUCGCCAAGCCGCAAGGCGGAGCCAAUCCAGACAAAGCCGGUCUCAGUUCGGAUUGUGGGCUGCAACUCGCCCACAUGAAGUUGGAGUUGCUAGUAACCGCCGGUCAGCUAUACGGCGGUGAAUACGUUCCCGGGCCUUGUACACACCGCGUGUCU
rnacentral:rRNA from 1 species